ensembl:misc_RNA Metazoa_SRP Metazoan signal recognition particle RNA
ACCGGGGGCGGUGGCGUGUGCCUGUAGUCCCAGCUGCUUGGGAGGCUGAUGUGGGAGGCUCGCGCAGGGGUUCAGGGGUAGUGCAUUAUGCGACUGGGUGUCUGCACUAAGUUCGGCAUCAAUAUGGUGACCUCCUGGGGGCGGGGGACCACCAGGUUGUCUAAGGAGUGGUGAACUGGCCCAGGUCGGAAACGGAGCAGGUCAAAACUCCCGUGCUGCUCAGUAGUGGGAUCACGCCUGUGAAUAGCCACUGCACUCCAGCCUGGGCAACACAGCGAGACCCUGUCUCUU